AGCUCCCAAUAGGCGUAUAUUAAAGUUGUUGCAGUUAAAAAGCUCGUAGUUGGAUCUCGGGUUUAGGCGUGCGGUUCGCCUCGCGGCGAUCACUGCUCGACCUGACCUAGCCGCCGAUCCUCCCUUGGUGCUCUUGACUGAGUGUCUCGGGGCGUCGGAACGUUUACUUUGAAAAAAUUAGAGUGCUCAAAGCAGGCCAUUCGCCUGAAUACUGUUGCAUGGAAUAAUGGAAGAGGACCUCGGUUCUAUUGCGUUGGUUUUCGGAACUUGAGGUAAUGAUUAAGAGGGACGGACGGGGGCAUCCGUAUUACGGCGUUAGAGGUGAAAUUCUUGGAUCGCCGUAAGACGAACUACUGCGAAAGCAUUUGCCAAGAAUGUUUUCA
rnacentral:rRNA from 1 species